rnacentral:rRNA from 1 species
CCUACGGGGGGCUGCAGUGGGGAAUAUUGGACAAUGGGCGAAAGCCUGAUCCAGCCAUGCCGCGUGUGUGAAGAAGGCCUUCGGGUUGUAAAGCACUUUCAGUGGGGAAGAAAGCCUUGGGGCUAAUACCCUCGAGGAAGGACAUCACCCACAGAAGAAGCACCGGCUAACUCCGUGCCAGCAGCCGCGGUAAUACGGAGGGUGCGAGCGUUAAUCGGAAUUACUGGGCGUAAAGCGCGCGUAGGCGGUCUGAUAAGCCGGUUGUGAAAGCCCCGGGCUCAACCUGGGAACGGCAUCCGGAACUGUCAGGCUAGAGUGCAGGAGAGGAAGGUAGAAUUCCCGGUGUAGAGGUGAAAUGCGUAGAGAUCGGGAGGAAUACCAGUGGCGAAGGCGGCCUUCUGGACUGACACUGACGCUGAGGUGCGAAAGCGUGGGUAGCAAACAGGAUUAGAUACCCUGGUAGUC